rnacentral:rRNA from 1 species
UACGUAGGCAGCAAGCGUUGUUCGGAAUUACUGGGCGUAAAGAGUGUGUAGGCGGUGCUCCAAGUCUGGUGUGAAAUCUCCCGGCUUAACUGGGAGGGUGCAUUAGAAACUGGCGGGCUAGAGUUCUGGAGGGGAUAGCGGAAUUCCUGGUGUAGUGGUGGAAUGCGUAGAUAUCGGGAGGAACACCAGUGGCGAAGGCGGCUUCCUGGACCGGUUCUGACACUGAGGAGCGAAAGCGUGGGGAGCGAUCCGG